UUUAAUGCGUUUACGGAUGUAUUAACGUGGCUUUGAAAGAACUUCAAGGGAACCGUAAUCCUUCGUCCCAGUGACGUAAACACAUGAAUAAU
rnacentral:sRNA from 1 species